ensembl:misc_RNA 7SK 7SK RNA
UUAACUAUCUGCAACAUCUGUCACCAUAUUGAUCACCAAGGUUGACGUGGCUGCCAACCUGGCUGGCUAUGCAGGUGUACCCUUCCUCCCUCACUGCCCCAUGUACAUCCUUCCCGAAGCUCUGUGCUUGGUUGAAGAGAACUAUCUUCCCUGAUAAAAUGGUUAAGUGACACAAGUUUUACAGAAGUCUUCAACUUCAAAUUGAAAAUCACUUAAUU